CCGUGGAGGCUUCUUGAAAGGCCAUUGGGGAAGAAGACCUGUUUGGCCUUCAGCUUCCUUCCCCGCUACAGACUGGGCUGCACCAGCAUCAGCAGGGCUGCAGGGGGCUCUCGGGCCUGCUCGUUAAUGCACCUCGCAGAUUCCUGGGCACCUGCUCUCAGAUAGGGCUGGAAGUUCUUUGAAAAAUUCAUCUCUUGAAUAAUGAAACAACAGCCUGAGGGACCAAUGCGGAAACAGAAGUUUUACAGCCAAGCCCCAGAAGGAGGCUGCGGACUUCUUGAGUCUCCCGAGGGCUUGCGGGUCUUCACAGGAAAAGGAAGGACUGUCCGUCUGGCUUAGCGUCUCAUCUCUACAACCGAGGCUUGAAGACGGCCCCUAAUGCCAACCUUAAACUAGUGGAUGUGAGGAUCCUUCCAGCCUGGCUGGACCCACAAUCUGAAGGCUGCACCAGUGGUAGGGAGCAGAGAGCUUCCUGGGAGAAGACGGACUUCAUAAACAGGACACGGGGAAACAAUGAACUUUGGAGGAUCCGUGGGAGGAGGCACAGCCAGCCAGCUGCACGGAGAGCUUGAGUGAUUACACGUAACCAGUUAUGGCUACAACAGAGUUCUGUGGCAACUUCCUGUUCUGUUUCCCACUGAGCAAGAGGCUCAGCCUCUCUGGGUUCCAGGCAGUUCGUGGCUUCCACACUGAGCAUUCUAGGAAGGAGACUAGUUUCUGACUUCCAUUUGUCCCUGCAGAUGAGGUAACUCGAAGUCUACCGUUAACAGCCAUUCAUUCUCUUGCUGGGGGUCUGGUAAUUUACUGGUCUGGCCUACUCAGGACACCUGGGAUGUUCUGGCCCUCUGGCAUUCCGGCUAAAGGCCUGCAUCCUCUUCGUUUGAUGCAGGAAGGCAUCAGCCAUCUCUAGGCAUCAGGUGCUGUACUGGGUUGACCCUUCCUCAGUUGGCUGGGUCACUGCUUCUAGUCAUUGGCAGCUUUUCACUUCAAGCCCCUGUGACUCUUUCCUUUUCUGUCUUGAGGCUGGUUCCAUAACCUUGGGAAUCUCCCUGCCAAUGGUGGGUCAGCACUCCAGCUCCCCUCUCUCCCAUCAUAGAGAAUUCCAUGGCCAUGGCCAUGCUUGAAGUUUAUCAGGGCCCCCCGGAUUCCCCAACCCACAGCAUUUCUGGGUUUCUUUCUUGCUUGUCCUAUUUCCCCACCCCCUAUCCUGGGCUUCCUGGAGGUGCCUCCAGGGUGAGCCACUUGUACCGAUGUCUUUAUGUCAAGAUUUGUUCUGCAUAUUAGUAAGGGCUCUCUAGAGGAACAGAACGAAUGGAGUGAGUAUAUAGGAAGAGGGAGUUUAUUCGAUUGGCUUCCCUGAUACAGUAGUCCAACAAUGGCUGUCAUCAUGUCACAGAGGCUGAGGAUCAGUAGCUGUGCAGUCCACGAGGCUGGAUUGCCCCAGCAGUCCCAGUCUGGAGCUGGAGGCCUGGAGGGUUCCUAGAGAGCCACUGAUCUAAGGAAGUUGGGUUUCAUGUCAGUCAAGGAUGGUGGCAGCAGCACAGAGAUGCACCCACAGUGAGGUCUUUCCUUCUACCAUGUGGGUCCCAGAGACUGAAUGCAAGUCAUCAGGCUUAACAGCGGGCACCUUAACCCACUAACCCAUCUCACUGGCUCCAAGAUUAAUUCUUCGUGUAAAAAGAAACAAUAUACAAGUUUACUCAAAUCUUUAACACAUAUGACGUUAUGUGUUUAUCAAAGAAUUGUUUAAAAUAGAUUUACUGUGAUUCAUUAUCAUUAAAAUUUUAUUUGAAUAUUUUAUAUAACUAUAUACACAAGGCCAUACAAAAAUAUCUUGUGUAAGAAAGGAGUUAUAGCUGGAAAAAGUGCCAGAAACUCUAGCUUAAACUGUCAUCAUUUUCCUUAGCUAAGACGUGCUAAGGAUAUUCAACGCACAGAACAAAAUCAACGAAAACGUUUUUGUCUUCUGUCCUUAGUCUCAGCGGAGGCAGGAAGUAAUGUUUGCAGGUACCUUUUAUUCCCGGAAGCAUAACGCUGUGCCAGCACUAACUGUAAGGAAUCGAGGAAACUCAGCCUCCCAGACCUACCCCACACCCCCACCUCUAAGCUUCAAGAAGGAGGAGAGGAGUCAUGAAUAAUAAAUAUAGAGAUAAGAGAAUGAAACUGGGAAAUCAAUUUACUGCGAAGUAUUUGCAUAUUUUAUUAAAAGAAACUGUGUCUGAGAUCCAUAA